UUAUAUUCUGUAGCAAGGUUAACCGAAUAGGGGAGCCGCAGGGAAACCGAGUCUUAAUUGGGCGUUAAGUUGCAGGGUAUAGACCCGAAACCCGGUGAUCUAGCCAUGGGCAGGUUGAAGGUUGGGUAACACUAACUGGAGGACCGAACCGACUAAUGUUGAAAAAUUAGCGGAUGACCUGUGGCUGGGGGUGAAAGGCCAAUCAAACCGGGAGAUAGCUGGUUCUCCCCGAAAGCUAUUUAGGUAGCGCCUCGUGAAUUCAUCUCCGGGGGUAGAGCACUGUUUCGGCUAGGGGGCCAUCCCGGCUUACCAACCCGAUGCAAACUGCGAAUACCGGAGAAUGUUAUCACGGGAGACACACGGCGGGUGCUAACGUCCGUCGUGAAGAGGGAAACAACCCAGACCGCCAGCUAAGGUCCCAAAGUCAUGGUUAAGUGGGAAACGAUGUGGGAAGGCCCAGACAGCCAGGAUGUUGGCUUAGAAGCAGCCAUCAUUUAAAGAAAGCGUAAUAGCUCACUGGUCGAGUCGGCCUGCGCGGAAGAUGUAACGGGGCUAAACCAUGCACCGAAGCUGCGGCAGCGACGCUGAUGCGUUGUUGGGUAGGGGAGCGUUCUGUAAGCCUGUGAAGGUGUGUCGUGAGGCAUGCUGGAGGUAUCAGAAGUGCGAAUGCUGACAUAAGUAACGAUAAAGCGGGUGAAAAGCCCGCUCGCCGGAAGACCAAGGGUUCCUGUCCAACGUUAAUCGGGGCAGGGUGAGUCGACCCCUAAGGCGAGGCCGAAAGGCGUAGUCGAUGGGAAACGGGUUAAUAUUCCCGUACUUGGUGUUACUGCGAAGGGGGGACGGAGAAGGCUAUGUUGGCCGGGCGACGGUUGUCCCGGUUUAAGCGUGUAGGUGUGUGUUCCAGGUAAAUCCGGUUCACUUUAACACUGAGGCGUGAUGACGAGGCACUACGGUGCUGAAGCAACAAAUGCCCUGCUUCCAGGAAAAGCCUCUAAGCAUCAGGUAACAUCAAAUCGUACCCCAAACCGACACAGGUGGUCAGGUAGAGAAUACCAAGGCGCUUGAGAGAACUCGGGUGAAGGAACUAGGCAAAAUGGUGCCGUAACUUCGGGAGAAGGCACGCUGACACGUAGGUGAAGUGAUUUACUCACGGAGCUGAAGUCAGUCGAAGAUACCAGCUGGCUGCAACUGUUUAUUAAAAACACAGCACUGUGCAAACACGAAAGUGGACGUAUACGGUGUGACGCCUGCCCGGUGCCGGAAGGUUAAUUGAUGGGGUCAGCGCAAGCGAAGCUCCUGAUCGAAGCCCCGGUAAACGGCGGCCGUAACUAUAACGGUCCUAAGGUAGCGAAAUUCCUUGUCGGGUAAGUUCCGACCUGCACGAAUGGCGUAAUGAUGGCCAGGCUGUCUCCACCCGAGACUCAGUGAAAUUGAACUCGCUGUGAAGAUGCAGUGUACCCGCGGCAAGACGGAAAGACCCCGUGAACCUUUACUAUAGCUUGACACUGAACAUUGAGCCUUGAUGUGUAGGAUAGGUGGGAGGCUUUGAAGUGUGGACGCCAGUCUGCAUGGAGCCGACCUUGAAAUACCACCCUUUAAUGUUUGAUGUUCUAACGUGGACCCGUAAUCCGGGUUGCGGACAGUGUCUGGUGGGUAGUUUGACUGGGGCGGUCUCCUCCUAAAGAGUAACGGAGGAGCACGAAGGUUGGCUAAUCCUGGUCGGACAUCAGGAGGUUAGUGCAAUGGCAUAAGCCAGCUUGACUGCGAGCGUGACGGCGCGAGCAGGUGCGAAAGCAGGUCAUAGUGAUCCGGUGGUUCUGAAUGGAAGGGCCAUCGCUCAACGGAUAAAAGGUACUCCGGGGAUAACAGGCUGAUACCGCCCAAGAGUUCAUAUCGACGGCGGUGUUUGGCACCUCGAUGUCGGCUCAUCACAUCCUGGGGCUGAAGUAGGUCCCAAGGGUAUGGCUGUUCGCCAUUUAAAGUGGUACGCGAGCUGGGUUUAGAACGUCGUGAGACAGUUCGGUCCCUAUCUGCCGUGGGCGCUGGAGAACUGAGGGGGGCUGCUCCUAGUACGAGAGGACCGGAGUGGACGCAUCACUGGUGUU
rnacentral:rRNA from 1 species